rnacentral:rRNA from 1 species
AGUGAACGCUGGCGGUAGGCCUAACACAUGCAAGUCGAACGGCAGCACAGUAAGAGCUUGCUCUUACGGGUGGCGAGUGGCGGACGGGUGAGGAAUACAUCGGAAUCUACUUUUUCGUGGGGGAUAACGUAGGGAAACUUACGCUAAUACCGCAUACGACCUACGGGUGAAAGCAGGGGAUCUUCGGACCUUGCGCGAUUGAAUGAGCCGAUGUCGGAUUAGCUAGUUGGCGGGGUAAAGGCCCACCAAGGCGACGAUCCGUAGCUGACCUGAGCGGAUGAGAGGCAACAAUGGAACUGAGACAAGGUCCAGACUACGAAGGGAGGCAGCAGUAGGGAAGCUUCAGGAAUGGGCGAAAGCCUGAAGGAGCAACGAAGCGUGAGGGAUGAAGGUCUUCGAAUCGUAAAAAUCUGUUAUUAGGGAAGAACAGAGGGGUAAGGAACAGUGCACAUCUGGACGGGACAUAAUCAGAAAGACAAGGCUAACUACGUG